rnacentral:rRNA from 1 species
UGAACGCUAGCGGCAGGCCUAAUACAUGCAAGUCGAACGGUGCAGCAAUGCAUAGUGGCAGACGGGUGCGUAACGCGUAUGCAACCUACCCCGGAUCGGGGAACAACUUCGCGAAAGUGGAGCUAAUACCGCGUAACAUUGCGGGGAGGCAUCUCCUGGCAAUUAAACUUACGGGGAUCCGGGAUGGGCAUGCGUCUGAUUAGCUAGUUGGUGAGGUAACGGCUCGCCAAGGCGACGAUCAGUAGGGGAACUGAGAGGUUGAUCCCCCACACUGGCACUGAGAUACGGGCCAGACUCCUACGGGAGGCAGCAGUAGGGAAUAUUGGGCAAUGGGGGAAACCCUGAUCUAGCCAUGCCGCGUGAUCGAUGAAGGCCUUAGGGUUGUAAAGAUCUUUCAGGUGGGAAGAUAAUGACUGUACCACUAGAAGAAGCCCCGGCUAACUCCGUGCCAGCAGCCGCGGUAAUCUGAUGGCGCGAGG